CGAUGAGUCAUGACGUAUGUAUAUCAAUGCCUAAAGAAAAUAUGGCGAUGGUAUUUGGUUAGUGUCCUGUUCUGUUGAUUUUACAGAAGGUGUUUGGUGUGUUUAUCGUGCUCAAGAUUGUAAUUAUAAUUUAAAUUCGGAGUAGAACUUAUUAAGACAAUGAGUUUCUUUAGUAAAGUAUUCGGUGGUAAAAAGGAACCGGUGUCUAUGUCGACAGCCGAGGCGAUACAAAAAUUGCGCGAGACGGAGGAUAUGUUGAUAAAAAAGCAGGAUUUCCUCGAAAGUAAAAUAGAGCUUGAAAUUCAAACUGCUAAGAAGAAUGGAACGAAAAACAAACGAGCUGCAAUCCAAGCCCUUAAAAGAAAGAAACGUUAUGAAAAACAGUUACAACAAAUUGAUGGUACACUUACCACGAUUGAAAGUCAAAGGGAAGCACUAGAAUGUGCAAAUACCAAUACUGCUGUACUUACUACAAUGAAAAAUGCAGCAGAUGCAUUAAAAUCUGUCCAUCAACAUAUGGAUGUUGAUCAAGUACAUGAUAUGAUGGAUGACAUAGCUGAACAGCAAGAUGUAGCAAGAGAGAUUUCUGAUGCAAUUUCCAAUCCUGUAGCAUUUGGAAAUGAUGUAGAUGAUGAAGAACUAGAAAAAGAAUUGGAAGAGCUUGAACAAGAACAACUUGAUAAAGAAUUGCUUGGUAUUGAAUCUACUGAUGAACUACCAAGUGUUCCAGCUACUGCUAUUCCAAUUGCCCCAACUAGGACUCGCACAAAAGCCAAACCAGAAGAGGAUGAAGAUUUAAAAGAGUUAGAAGCAUGGGCAUCAUAAAGCUUCAUAUGGCGUAACAAAUGGUGUCAAUUCUUCGGCCCAAAAUGGAAUAAAUCUUUCUAUUCUCAUGAAACGUUGUAACAAGUACAUCAUUCCACCCAUUAUUGACAAGAUGAUAAGCAACAGAAUUAGCCACUGUUCCUGCACCCGCAAUGACAAUUUGCGAUUGCGAGGGUAACGUUGUAUGGGGUUGAAAUUGAAAAUUUUGGUCAAAUUUCCUACGACUUUUACUUCUGUCUCUUUGAUUAAGUUUAAAUAUUCCAUUUUUGAAGGUUA